rnacentral:lncRNA from 1 species
UUGAUGAACUAACAAUAAACCAACUUUUAUGAACAAAAUCAAGAGUACAGCUUGAACCAUGUGAUAAACUAACAAUAAAUCAAGAUCAUCUCUCAAUGGCAAUAUGCAUGUGUUGUGAAGAUGGAGGCACAUACAUGUGUGAUGCCCAAACAAAGAGUUUGAUAUUGCCGUCAUGCCACGAUGACCAAACAAAUGCAGUUCUUCUCUGGUGCAAGCAUGACCAAACAAAUGCAGCAACACUCAUUCAUUUCUCUCUUUAUAUGAAUAACCGACUCAGCAUUCUGGCACAGUGGUAUUCAGCCAGUAAAAUCAGGAUUAUUUGUUCUCCUAGUUAUUCUGUUGUCAAAUAAAUUUCUUCUCAUGAUCGGUGCACACAAGAGGCCAUAGCUCUGGGUACCUGUGAAGCAAAUAAUAAAAUCAGUAAAACUGGCUCAUAUUACUAUGUCAUGUAUAAAGAUUAAAACUAUAAAUUUUCAGCUAGUUCCAAACAUAAAAUCUGGCAUCAUAGUUACUGAGCUUAUCUGCGUGCAUCAAACAACGCAGAUGGUAGGGGCAGCGUUGCAUCUAUCAAUAAGAGAACAGUCACAGAGCUAAUGCUAAACCUCCCAGAUGAAUCGGUAUAGGAAAUAUCAGACAUAUCCAGACAGAGCAACAUGAGGCACUAAAGUUGAAGAAGAGUUUGUAGAUUUGCACUGAUGCAUAUACAGUUUACAUAGACCUUCGUUUCCAUCAGAUGAGAAUAGCUUGGUAAAUGAACUUGCUUCACAGCUAAACAGUUUGCCGACAAAAAUAAAACUCAGGUCUCUUGGACCAUUUGCUAAUCACAUGAUCGGUAAAUGGGAAAACUCAUUCCAAACAAACUAUGCUUAAACUAAUUAAUGAUUAAUCAGUACAAAACAGAAAGAGGAUUGCCAUCAUGUAUGUGAUAGAUGUUUGCACAUAUAUCAUUAUUUCCUCACAAAGCAAGUAGUACGGCUGCAUUGGCUUUAGAUGCACCCAAUUUAGUAAUCCUUUUAUCUUUAGUUGUACGAAAUUUAGAAAUCUAUCAUGUAACUUAUUGGAACAACUCGGCAAGUGAAAACAUCCUUUAUCUUUAGCUGUACCAAAUUUGGAAAUCCUAUGUUAGCCCUGAAGUUUUGUAGUCACUUCCCUCACAAUCAAUAAGGUCAUUAAGAUCUUGCAUCCAAAAUGAAAGAUAUAAAUUUGCUAUAAGAGAAGAUACAAUUUUUGUAUCAUUCAGCUCUAUAAAAACUGUACAACCAUAAAUUUGCAAACAGGAGGAGGUGAGUAGAGCCGUGAGUAUCAUUUUGGUUUACAUAGAAAAUUAGGAAUUUGCAAACAGGAAAAGGUUUAUCUAUACAUAUCAGCAUGGUUAUAUAUCAGUAUUACUAUUUGUCAAGAUCGGGAGAUUUGCUGCUGGGAUUAAGCCAGCCUAAUGUUGGCUGUUGCUAAAUCUUGCUGACAUUCAUAGAAUUUCAGUGCAAGUAGCAAGCAGCCAAGCACACACGUAACACUUUAGCAGUGCAAGUAGAAAUGUAGAGAAAAAAGAACGGAGAGGCUACCUGCAGGCUGCAGCAGUUGGAGCAUGGAGGCGGCUGUCGGAAUGCAUGAGUUUUCACAACAUCAGAGCAGGGCCGAGAAGAUCCUGGCUGAGGCGGAACGAACCCAACGGCGGAUGAAGGAUACUGAAAGUCUACAAAACAAUUGGCCAUACAAAGGUGGCCACAUGUAGUCCUUCGAGUCUUCCUUGACCUGAACAUCAGAAAUCACCAAAAUCAAAUAAACAACACAGAAAGGUUCUCUGAACCCAAAUCUUUUCUUCAUAAAUAUGGAGAAACAUUGAUGAACAGAGCAAUCUUAGGUCAUAUAAUUUUUUUAAGAUAUUAUAAGCAAGAACACGAGAUAAGAGCGCUAUAAAGUGCAGCUAGCUACCAAAUUUAGUUUAGAAUAUAUGCUAGCAAAAUAGACAUCUACCAUGAGAAGGAAAAAGACAAACCUAAGAAGAUGAUUGAUCAUUUCCAAGGAAGCAUAUAUUGACCUUAGAAUAGGGAUGAUCCUUCUUGAUUGUGAACUUAUCAGCACACCAUAUCAAUUCUUGCUACGGAAUGUAGCUCGCUAGCAGUCUACACUGCAAUAAAAGAAGAUCUAAGUAAGUGCACAUUUAUGCUCUGCGCAAUGGGUCAGCUUUUGAUCCAAUGGUCAAGGUCUUUCCAUCCCGUGAUCGAAUGGCCAGGAACGCAUCAAAAGGAUGAUCCAACAUCCAAGAGCCGCUAAGCUCUGAGAAGCCUCACAAUGUCCGAAAGACCAACAUCGCAUUUAAAAGCACAGAACCACAGUUUGUUAGUAUUCAUUGCCACAACAAUAUGAGCAUGGGCUUUUUAUUUAUAUUGUUGCGUCACUCCCCAAUUAACCCCUUCUAGAUAAUAUUGAUAAUUGUAAUUUUAUUCUGUCCUGGGAAAGGGGAUAAGAAUCUAUUUUGUUAUUCUGAUCAUUAUGCGUGGGAUUAGUCGACUGUCUUUUUGACAACGCAGCCAUUGUACAUACCAUACGUGUUAUUUUGUUUGUUUGCUCAUACUUCUCCGAAACUGUCCAGUUGAAGCUUUCAAAUGUGGAAAGAGUUAACAUAAAAAAUAUUCAUUUUAUUUUAAAACUGCAGAACCACUGUACUUGACCUUAAUCAUGCCAUUUAUUUCAGCACGACUAAUCAUGUUCUAAUAUGGAACUUGCAUUUGUUGGUAGGCACUAAUAAGUACAUAUGUAUCGUUAGAAGGGUACAAUAUACCCUGGGUUCUAUCCUCAGGUCUACCUUGACUGAGGCAUCACUCUUUUCUAAUGGCUUGGGCACCCAAUAAUAAUCAACAAAUAGGUUAGUAUGCAAGAAUGGUUAAGAGCAUAAGAUUGGGUUCUUUCUACUACACCAAAGAAUAUAUAGACAACCGUAAUCGAGAAAAUAAGGAAAAAACUCCAAUGCAAAACCAUGGAAAUAAAAUCAAAACUUGCAGCAUUAACCGGUUCAACAUUUCUCUAAGUUAUUCAACUGAAAUAAAGAUAUAUGUGAUUACAUAGCUGACAUCUCUGAACCAUAAUAAGAAACUUAACGAAUAUAGCAAGAUCAGAAGAUGGAAUAUAGGUAGAGGAACUACAUUUGAAGAGAGUUCUUCCCAAAUUUUAUUGUUUCUGGGCAAUGGUAAAAAAAUAUACAUAAACAAUCUUACUACAGAAUUGGCUUCUCUGAAACACAUGGCAGAGCAAACAAAAAGAGUGAUCACCCUCUCUCCUGGUGACCAAACCAAGAACCAGAGAUAAAGUACAUAUGGGCACACGUUUCUCUCUCAGAAGGAAAGACCAUUUCUUAUUACAGAAAAGGGGAUACGUACAAUGUUAGACAUGUGUGUUGGUCAAUAAUGCCUCAAAUGGUGCACCACUGAGAUUUUCCAUUACCAGCUUCAUAUGGAGCGGUGAUACGGUGCUCUCUGCUUGUGCCUGGCUUGGCAGCUUCCUCUAGACCAGCAAGACAAUAAAUAGAUUAAGAGAGUACCUCAUCAAACUCAAGAUUAAUUUAUAGUACCUAAACAGAUCCAUAAAAUCAUUUUAUUAUUUCUAGAAAAUAUAGAAUUAUCCAACAUGUAACGGGUGAACCACCAUCACAACACCAGCAUCUAGAAUAAGUUGAUAUGCAGAAGCAUGGCCACUAAGAAUAAUGCAUAACAAUGAUUUUUUCCCUAGAUAUAAGGGAGGCCUAAAACAAAAUCAUUUACUUCCAUAGCACAUCAUACAAUGCCCCAUUAAAAGAGUUCUUCAAAAUACCUUGCAAGCGCCAGAUCGAACAGGGAACGACGGAGGAGGCCACCCGCGGUUG